rnacentral:rRNA from 1 species
GGACGUGGCGCCGUGCUACCUGCAGUCGACGGAUGAACUUCGACAGCUUGCUCUUCGGAUUAUGUGGCAAACGGGUGAGUAACACCUGAGCAACCUGCCCCUGACUCAGGGAUAAGCCCUGGAAACGGCGCUCUAAUACUGGAUAUCAGCUCCUGCCGCAUGGUGGGGGUUGAAAAAAUUUUUUGGUUGGGGAUGGUCUCCCGGCCUAUCAUCUUCUUGGUGAAGUAGUGGCUCACCACCGCGUCGACGGUUAGCCGGCCUGACAAGAUGACCAGCCACACCGGUGACUACUACGCCGCCCCCACUCCUCCGGGAGGCAGCAGUGGUGAAUAUUGUACGACGGACGGAACCCUCCUGCUCCAGCGCCGCCUGCUGUAUGACGGCCGUCUUGUUGUUCACCUCUUUUAUCAUGGAAAACGCGAAAGUCCGGUACCUGCCCAAUAAGCACCACCUUACUAGAUGCCGACGCCGCGCUAACUCCUACGGUGCAACCGCUGUCCCGAAAGUGGGCGUCGAUACUCGUAGGCCAGUUCUCGCGUCUGC